CACGUAGGGCGCGAGCGUUGUCCGGAAUUAUUGGGCGUAAAGGGCGCGUAGGCGGUGCCACAAGUCACCUGUGAAAUCUCCGGGCUUAACUCGGAGCCUGCAGGCGAAACUGUGGUGCUGGAGUGUGGGAGAGGUGCGUGGAAUUCCCGGUGUAGCGGUGAAAUGCGUAGAGAUCCGGAAGAACACCAGUGGCGAAGGCGGCCCGCUGGGCAGUGGCUGACGCUGAGGCGCGACAGCGUGGGGAGCAAACAGG
rnacentral:rRNA from 1 species